AAACUUGUCUGCAAAAAACCAAACAAAACAAAAAACAAAAGCCCAAGUGAAAACCGCGGCGAUCUGCAUGAUUAUAAAGGGUUCAAACAUAUCCGAAAAGUUUUAUUUUUACAGUUCCGACCUUCAGUACCUAUCUCGCAUCUUUUAAGAAUCUCCUCAGCCAGUGAACAGAUUCGUUGGUUUAAGAGUGACUGGUCUAACAGAGUUGGUCUUGAGUUGGAGAUGCCUUAG
rnacentral:lncRNA from 1 species